UACGUAGGGGGCAAGCGUUGUCCGGAUUUAUUGGGCGUAAAGAGCGUGUAGGCGGCCAAGCAGGUCCGCUGUGAAAACUCGAGGCUCAACCUCGAGACGUCGACCCAAACCCCCUGGCUAGAGUCCGGAAGAGGAGAGUGGAAUUCCUGGUGUAGCGGUGAAAUGCGCAGAUAUCAGGAAGAACACCCGUGGCGAAGGCGGCUCUCUGGGACGGUACUGACGCUGAGACGCGAAAGCGUGGGGAGCGAACAGG
rnacentral:rRNA from 1 species